UACGUAGGGUGCAGGCGUUAAUCGGAAUUACUGGGCGUAAAGCGCACGUAGGCGGAUCUUUAAGUCAGAGGUGAAAUCCCAAGGCUCAACCUUGGAACUGCCUUUGAUACUGGGGAUCUUGAGUCCGGGAGAGGUGAGUGGAACUGCGAGUGUAGAGGUGAAAUUCGUAGAUAUUCGCAAGAACACCAGUGGCGAAGGCGGCUCACUGGCCCGGUACUGACGCUGAGGUGCGAAAGCGUGGGGAGCAAACAGG
rnacentral:rRNA from 1 species